AUGUUAGCUUCAGCUCCACUGCUGCUGCUGGCUCUCGCCCCCUAUGUGUUCUGUGCUACUGAGCUCAUCCAGCCAGACUCACUGCUUAUAAAGCCAGGAGAGACUUUAACCAUCACCUGUAAAGUGUCUGGAGCUUCUAUCACUGAUAGCAGCAGCCACUAUGGAACAGCUUGGAUUCGACAACCUGCAGGAAAAGCUUUAGAAUGGAUCAAUUUAAUUUAUUAUGAUGGUGAUAUUCAUAAGAAAGAUUCACUUAAAGACAAGUUUGUCAUCUCUCGAGACACUUCCAGUAACACUGUGACCUUACGGGGACAGAACAUGCAGACUGAAGACACAGCUGUGUAUUACUGCGCUCGUGAUCCACACAAUUCAUUCCUAGCGGCGGCAAGCCAGAAGGCCACCGGGAAAUGUCCCGGUGCUCCCGAUGGCCAGUCCGCCCCUGGAUCCAGGUCUGCUUGUCUUUUAGCAGAAAUGUGA